rnacentral:rRNA from 1 species
UACGGAGGGUGCGAGCGUUGUCCGGAAUCACUGGGCGUAAAGGGCGCGUAGGCGGCCACCGCAAGUCGACUGUGAAAUCUCCGGGCUUAACCCGGAAAGGUCAGCCGAUACUGCGGGGCUAGAGUGCAGAAGGGGCAACUGGAAUUCUCGGUGUAGUGGUGAAAUGCGUAGAUAUCGGGAGGAACACCAGUGGCGAAGGCGACUACCUGGCCUGUUCUUGACGCUGAGGCGCGAAAGCUAGGGGAGCAAACGGG